rnacentral:rRNA from 1 species
GACAGAGGUGCCAAGCGUUAGGCGGAAUCACUGGGCUUAAAGCGCGUGUAGGCGGGUCGUUAAGUACCUUGUGAAAUCCUGCGGCUCAACCGCAGAACUGCUGGGUAUACUGGCGAUCUUGAGCCACCUAGGGGCAGCCGGAACAGGCGGUGGAGCGGUGAAAUGCGUAGAUAUCGCCUGGAACGCCGAAGGUGAAGACAGGCUGCUGGGGGUGUGCUGACGCUGAGACGCGAAAGCCAGGGGAGCGAACGGG